UACGGAGGGUGCGAGCGUUGUCCGGAAUCAUUGGGCGUAAAGGGCGCGUAGGUGGCCUGGCAAGCGUGCGGUGAAAGCUCGGGGCUCAACCCCGAGUCGGCCGUGCGAACUGCUGGGCUCGAGCACUGUAGAGGCAGGCGGAAUUCCGGGUGUAGCGGAUGGAAUGCGCAGAUAGUCAGGAGGAACACCGGUGGCGAAGGCGGGCUCUGGGCAGUAACUGACGCUGGAGACGCGAAAGCGUGGGGAGCAAACAGG
rnacentral:rRNA from 1 species